UACGGGGGGGGCAAGCGUUGUUCGGAAUUACUGGGCGUAAAGGGCUCGUAGGCGGCCAACUAAGUCGGAUGUGAAAUCCCCAGGCUUAACCUGGGAACUGCAUCCGAUACUGGAUGGCUUGAAUCCGGGAGAGGGAUGCAGAAUUCCAGGUGUAGCGGUGAAAUGCGUAGAUAUCUGGAGGAAUACCGGUGGCGAAGGCGGCUACCUGGACAAUUGCUGACGCUCAGGCACGAAAGCGUGGGGAGCAAAAGGG
rnacentral:rRNA from 1 species